rnacentral:rRNA from 1 species
GACGAACGCUGGCGGCGUGCUUAACACAUGCAAGUCGAACGGAAAGGCCCUGCUUUUGUGGGGUGCUCGAGUGGCGAACGGGUGAGUAACCCGUGAGUAACCUGCCCUUGACUUUGGGAUAACUUCAGGCAACUUGGGCUCAUACCGGAUAGGAGCUCUUGCUGCAUGGUGGGGGUUGGAAAGUUUCGGCGGUUGGUGAUGGACUCGCGGCUUAUCAGCUUGUUGGUGGGGUAGUGGCUUAGCAAGGCUUUGACGGGUAGCAGGCCUGCGAGGGUGACCGGCCACGUCAGGAUUGAAAUGAGACACAGACUCGUAUGGGAGGCAACGGAGGAGAAUAGUGUACAAGAGGCUGAGGCCAGAUGUAGCAACGCCACGUGCGGUAAGAGGUCCAUGGGUUAGGAUACCGCAGUCGCCUGAGACGAAGCGAUAGUGACAGUAAUGGGUAAAGAAGCACCGGCUAACUACGUG